GGAGGAAUGGCUGAGCGGCUGAAGGCACCGGUUUGCUAAAUCGGCAUACCUGUAAAGGUAUCAUGGGUUCAAAUCCCUUUUCUUCCG
rnacentral:tRNA from 1 species